rnacentral:sRNA from 1 species
GGUUUCCUCGUUCCCCUUUGGUUAAUGCGCAACUGUUUCAGAUUGCAGGAGGAGAUGCUUCAGAGAGAGGAAGCCGAAAACACCCUGCAGUCUUUCAGACAGGAUGUUGACAAUGCGUCUCUGGCACGUCUUGACCUUGAACGCAAAGUGGAAUCUUUGCAAGAAGAGAUUGCCUUUUUGAAGAAACUCCACGAAGAGGAAAUCCAGGAGCUGCAGGCUCAGAUUCAGGAACAGCAUGUCCAAAUCGAUGUGGAUGUUUCCAAGCCUGACCUCACGGCUGCCCUGCGUGAUGUACGUCAGCAAUAUGAAAGUGUGGCUGCCAAGAACCUGCAGGAGGCAGAAGAAUGGUACAAAUCCAAGUUUGCUGACCUCUCUGAGGCUGCCAACCGGAACAAUGACGCCCUGCGCCAGGCAAAGCAGGAGUCCACUGAGUACCGGAGACAGGUGCAGUCCCUCACCUGUGAAGUGGAUGCCCUUAAAGGAACUGUGAGUACCAACCCUGCAGUAAAAGAGGGAAAAUAAUGACCCAUUCUGCUGACUAAGCUCAUGAUGAUACCUGAACAAAAUGUUGAGUGAGUAAAAAUGUAUAUCAUAAUGCAAAGAAAAUGAGUUAUCAAGACAGACUCAAAAGGGACUUCAUGGAACUCUUGAAGGUUUUAGCUUGCCUAUAUCAUUGCUUCUAAUGUGAAGGACUUGGUACUCGCAUUCUCCACCUAAAAUUAGAGUGGUCGCCAUUUGACGCUAAUGGAAAUU